GCAUUGAAGCUGAACCCACUGCCAGCCGUAAGACCUGACCGGACCUCUCCUCUCCUUUGGAACUAAGCAGGCUGGGCUGAUAUGUGACACCAUAGAGGUGUGGCCCCCCACCAGCCCCAUUAGAUUAAACCCCACCUUGUUGCUUACUUGGUGUGUGGCCUUGGUUAACCACAAACCCACCUAAACACCCCACUGGCAAGCCCGCUGAAUACUGUUGCUUCUUACCCAGCCUCUUAGGGAUAUGAUUAGAAGACUGACUUAUAAUGUCAAGAUGUUACUUUCCUAAAGCCCUGGUUGUAACUCCAGGCAAGAUGACUGUCUUAGCCACUUCAUUCCUAGAUGAGACUGAACUCACCCGGGGUCCUUGGGGUGCACGGAAUAAAGAAUGGGACAUUCAUGUCUGACUGACAGAAGCAGGCCAGCAGUUACUUAGAUCUGCUGGAAAGGAGAUGAAAAAAUGAAACAUACUGCGGCUAACAUUCCAGAGUGCCUGCUGACAGCCAAAGACCAUUAACUUGCAGAAACAGCCAAGCAGAGAAAGCUGUAAGAAAGUGGAUCCUGGGCUGUCAAGGGCUGGAUGAAGCUUGUGACCGGUGUCAAGGAGAUGGGAUGCCAAGCCCAUGGUCAGGAAACCGUGGUUCUAUGAACCAAACUUCACAACUGCAGACAGCUGCCAAGGCCAGUGUUCAAGCACAGACAGGAGAGUGUCAGCCUCAUCUGCCAUCCAUCAGGCUCCAGUGGUUAACUCAGAGGUCAAAUUAGAGGCACUGCUCUCUGCAAGACCCGCAUAUGAAGUACAUAGGUAAAAGCUAAUACAUGUGCAUGUGGAUAAAGCACAGGGCAAGAGAGUCCAGCAAAAAAUCUUGGCAGGACAGCUGUCUCUAAAU
ensembl:lncRNA